AUAACCCUAACGCUACUUUCUGAACUUUUGUCUCUAUCUGGCAAUAGCACAUAAUAAAGGUAGAGAUUUCGGCCCUAAAUAUCCUAUCAUAACGCUCUGAAAGGGCAGAGAUGGAGACAAAAUUCAUAAAAGUGUAAAUUUUGUCAUUUCCAAGUAACAACAUAACCCUACUUUUCGAACCUACCGAAUUUUCAACAAAACAAACCAAACAAACAAUUUGUGGCUAUACGCAUUGCGAUACCACUAAUUUUCGCAUCAAAAUUUCACAUUGCCAGUUUCUGUUUAAAUAAAAACAUGCAUUUUUAUUUUUCCAUUAACUGCAUGCGAAACUUUUAUAAUUUUAGACGUUUAUAGUCAAAUAUAUUUGUCAUAAUGAAUUUUUCUAGAUCAAUACUGUUCUAUUUUGAAUAAUUCUGUGUAUGAAUGCUUUUAAAUUUGACGGAUUGUACCAGUGAAUAUUUCUGGUGAUGAACUGUUUUAGACUUGUUAUGACGUCACACCCGUGACGUUUCCCGAGGUUAGGUGUGCGGCGCAGGCGGCGAGGGCGGAUCAGUCGACAGCGAGCAGUGGCACGGGUCACUUCGGGAGCGCGAGACGAGCGGUUUAUUUAAAUUAUUGUGCCGUCUCGUUUAAUUUAUUCAAAUAUUCAGUUUGUUACUUGCCGUUGUCGCGAACGGACGUGUGCUCAAUUAAAUCUAAAUUUUCCGGUUUAAAUUGUUAAUUUUAAAUUCGGUGACUAGUGUUCGUGUUUAGUGUGUGUUAGUGCCAAUGGAAUAGAAUUCAAGAAGGAAACAACAAUCCGGAUUAAAGGUAGGUUCGUUUAAGAAGAAGAUGGCAUCGGAACAGAAGACAAAGGUCAGUGCAUUUUUUUUUCAUUUGCGGUUAAUUUA